GUCGGGUGUGAAAUCUCGGAGCUUAACUCCGAAAUUGCAUUCGAUACUGCCGUGCUCGAGGACUGGAGAGGAGACUGGAAUUCAUGGUGUAGCAGUGAAAUGCGUAGAGAUCAUGAGGAAGACCAGUGGCGAAGGCGGGUCUCUGGACAGUUCCUGACACUGAGGCACGAAGGCCAGGGGAGCAAACGGG
rnacentral:rRNA from 1 species